rnacentral:rRNA from 1 species
GACAGAGGUGCCAAGCGUUAGGCGGAAUCACUGGGCUUAAAGCGUGUGUAGGCGGGUGCCUAAGUACCUUGUGAAAUCCCCCCGGCUCAACCGGGGGAACGGCUGGGUAUACUGGGUGCCUUGGGUCAUCUAGGGGCUGCCGGAACAAAUGGUGGAGCGGUGAAAUGCGUAGAUAUCAUUUGGAACGCCAACGGCGAAAGCAGGCAGCUGGGGGAUGCACCGACGCUGAGACACGAAAGCCAGGGGAGCGAACGGG